rnacentral:lncRNA from 1 species
CUCCACCACCGUACUGGGAGACAACCAACCAGUCAGUCUGGCUGUUCGUUUCCAGCUCCAGCACAAAGUACAGAGUUCCCUGGACACUGUGUACGACCCCGUGUGUGCGUUCUGGGAUUUUGAUCUCCUGCCUGAGGCAGGAGGCUGGUGGAGCACCAAAGGCUGCGAGGUGGUGUCCAAACAUCACAGACACACCGUGUGCCGCUGCAAUCACACCACCAACUUUGCUCUGUUGCUGCAGGUGUACGAAGCUCAGGUGAAGCAUCGCCAUCUUCAGUCAUCCCACUGCGGUUAUUCUUUGUUCUGUGUACAGCUACACAAUAAAACCACCAGUGGUAACAUUAGACUAAAAACAGGAGUUA